UACAGAGGUGGCAAGCGUUGUUCGGAAUUACUGGGCGUAAAGGGCGCGUAGGCGGCCUUCUAAGUCAGACGUGAAAUCCCCCGGCUUAACCUGGGAACUGCGUCUGAUACUGGACGGCUUGAAUAUGGGAGAGGAACGUAGAAUUCCAGGUGUAGCGGUGAAAUGCGUAGAUAUCUGGAGGAAUACCGGUGGCGAAGGCGGCGUUCUGGACCAUUACUGACACUGAAUCGCGAAAGCUAGGGGAGCAAACGGG
rnacentral:rRNA from 1 species